AACCUAACCUUAAACCAAAUUAAAUUUAUCGAGCAAGUACCAGACUCCAAGAUUCUUUAAUUUUAUUUGUAUCGAGAUUUAACUGACCCAAUUAGCCUCUAAUGAAACUGAAGACGAGUGGAUGCGGGUGAAUGCGCGCGCGCAUGCUUGCAGGAUAUCCGCGGAUGCAGGAGGCAGCCGGCUGGGAGGAUGACGGCGAGCGCGCAAGAGCGAGAAGUCGGUAACUUAACUGGCCUAAAUGGGUUUAACUCGAUGUGAUUUUGCUGGCGAACCACUAAAUUGAACGAAUACGAACUAAACUGAACUCAACUAAGCUAAUCAUAUCACAUUACUAGCGUUAUUAGCCGAGAGACGAUAUAAGUGAAGGUCCGGUGGUACCAGGCUGCAGUAACGGGUCGCCUCCUGCACUGACCCUCUGUACGACUUUCUUUUCGACCUCUUUUUCUCGAUCAUGAUGUUCGCGUCUUGUAUCUAUCCGAUCUUUGAAUCACGGAAAUGUGUUUACGGUCAAGUUUUACCGCAGUCGGUUCCGAAACAACUUUUAGGUUAGUUCUUGUAAAAGUUGGAUGCAAGUUGAAGUUUCUCGAAGGAAAUGGACAAUUCUUGAUGCACACGAGGUCUGGGAAACGAUGUUGGCCGAUCCUGGCCGAACAGAAACGCUACCAUGGUCGUGAAACAGGAAACACGUGCUCUGAGUGAAAGUGACAGAUCACCGCGCGCCAAAUUCGAAAUAAAGAUCAAAGAAUCGUAUACGAUUUUCGAUUUAUAGUGUCAUUCGUGAGAAUAAAACAAUGUAACAUUUUAAAGAAUGUGCGAUGGAAAGAAUUUUUUUCUUAUUGAGAAUUCUAUAUAGUGAAAUAUAUGGUGAAUAAGUGAUAUAGUUUAUCUUCAAAAGGAAUUUGAUUUGUUUUUCUGGUAUGCCGACCGGAUAGUAUUGCCGUGUGGCCAGGCUGACAGGGCCGACCAAUUGAGCCUGUUAACGUCAAUUGGUCUAAAUUAGUUCAAUUGGACGUAAUUGCGCGAAUACGACGGGGAACCUCCGCUCUCUGUUUGCCAGCCAUGCUUGCGUUUCUCUCUUCACGCUGAUAUCGCCGUAUUCUCGGGACUUCCUCCAGGAUUCAGGAUACGGCCACGUGGAUACGGCCAAUGUAUGCAACAGGUGUAUUUGACCCGCAUUCGGAAAUCGUGAUUCAAAGGAGAAAAUGUAACAUCGCAGCCCGAUGACGUCGCAUCCUUAUUAACCCGACGUAGUCACAUCCGUCACCAUCCCGUUCUGUAUUCACGUGCAGGGUGUUUCUCGUAAUGAUAUCUUCAUUUAUGUAUUGAAACUACCUUAUAUAAAUUACUUAUAAAAUUAUGUAUUUCAUAAGUAAAAUUUUCUAAUAUAAUCGUACAUAU